CUGUAGAUCAUACUGGAAUAAAGUCUAAUGAACUGUUCCAGUUGAAGCAAGGAUUGCUUGUAGAUUUUUCUGAUGCUAAACUUAAUGAAGUAUUGAAAUCAAACAAUUUGGAUAGUGUCUCAACUCAAUUGCUUUUUAAUAUAGGAAAUAGGAUCCUAAGUGAUAUCUUUGAAAGGAAAAAUGGAGAUGUACCUCAGGCUCAUCGUGUU